rnacentral:rRNA from 1 species
ACUCCUGCGGGAGGCAGCAGUGGGGAAUUUUGGACAAUGGGCGAAAGCCUGAUCCAGCAAUGCCGCGUGAGUGAAGAAGGCCUUCGGGUUGUAAAGCUCUUUUGUCAGGGAAGAAACGGUGAGAGCUAAUAUCUCUUGCUAAUGACGGUACCUGAAGAAUAAGCACCGGCUAACUACGUGCCAGCAGCCGCGGUAAUACGUAGGGUGCAAGCGUUAAUCGGAAUUACUGGGCGUAAAGCGUGCGCAGGCGGUUUUGUAAGUCUGAUGUGAAAUCCCCGGGCUCAACCUGGGAAUUGCAUUGGAGACUGCAAGGCUAGAAUCUGGCAGAGGGGGGUAGAAUUCCACGUGUAGCAGUGAAAUGCGUAGAUAUGUGGAGGAACACCGAUGGCGAAGGCAGCCCCCUGGGUCAAGAUUGACGCUCAUGCACGAAAGCGUGGGGAGCAAACAGGAUUAGAAACCCCAGUAGUCC